rnacentral:tRNA from 1 species
UCUCUGUUAGUAUAUCGGUUAGUACACGCGCCUGUCAUUAAGAGGUCGUACCAGAUACGCGCGAAAGCUGGGUUCGACUCCCGGACAGAGAG